GCUGUGAAGCAUAGAGUGAAGGAAGCGAGACUGCCCCAAAGGGAUGCCGUUGGCACAAACCCCGGUUCCAACGAACAGGAAUUGGAUACGGAGGCUUGACAGAUCGGAUGAGGUAGCACGACCUGUCCCGAAAAUCGGGAUCAUACUGACGUCCAAAGGGUGGGAAACCAUCAAGUAUCUAUCAGGUAGAUCCAAUGGACAUUGGGGAAAG
rnacentral:ncRNA from 1 species